GAUGAACGCUGGCUACAGGCUUAACACAUGCAAGUCGAGGGGAAACGACGGGGAAGCUUGCUUCCCCGGGCGUCGACCGGCGCACGGGUGAGUAACGCGUAUCCAACCUGCCUCUGACUGAGGGAUAACCCGUCGAAAGUCGGCCUAAUACCUCAUGGUAUCGUCUGCGGGCAUCCAACGACGAUUAAAGAUUUCAUCGGUCAGGGAUGGGGAUGCGUCUGAUUAGCUUGUUGGCGGGGUAACGGCCCACCAAGGCUACGAUCAGUAGGGGUUCGGAGAGGAAGGUCCACCAGAUUGGAACUGAGACACGGUCCAAACUCCUACGGGAGGCAGCAGUGAGGAAGAUGGGGCAAGGGGCGAGAGCCUGAACCAGCCAAGUAGCGUGCAGGAAGACGGCCCUAUGGGUUGUAAACUGCUUUUAUGCGGGGAUAAAGUGAGGGACGUGUCCCUCAUUGCAGGUACCGCAUGAAUAAGGACCGGCUAAUUCCGUG
rnacentral:rRNA from 1 species